AGCAGUGACCCAUCCUCACAUCUUGUGCCACGUGUCACGGAACUCCUGCCUGGUUAUGUUCAGAGCUGGCGCAGAAGCUACUGGGGACUUGACCUGAGGGAAGAAAAGAUUUGAGUUGGCUCCAAUCCCAUUAGCACAACUAGCUGGAGAUAAGCCAUCUGUCACUGCUGCUGCUGGCUUCAACUGCCACUCUAAUUGACAAUGAACCCAGAGACCUGUAAUAAUUGUGGCUGCUCAGUGACUUCGACAGGUUCUCUACUUGUGUCACUGCAGAGAAAUUUUAGGAGAAGGAUGUCUCAGGGGGCCCUCAGGCUGGCAGGCUCCCCAGUGCUACAUCCAGAUGCCAAGCUCUGGCCUCAAAGGCCAGAUUCCAGCAUUUAGGAUGGAGAGACAACCCUGAUGAUCUCCUCUUUCCAUGAGAACACAAUUCCUCAAAAUUGUCUUUUCUAAGUCUUUGAUAAGUUAACUGUCAAAAUCUUGGAGCUGAAACACCAUCUCUGACCAUUUGGGGAUAAUUUCCUCUUUAUUACUCCUCUUUUAGGUUGUACCCCCUUAUUUCAUGCUACUUACUUCUCACUCCAGGGUAUUCCCACUCUUGUGGUAUGUUCAAGUUACAAUCUUCUCCCGCAGCCAGAGGUAGAGUCAAGCUGAGAGUUGCUCUGGUCCUGACAAUGUGUUUUCUCUCCUUUAAGCCAAUUCUUCCAUCUCCUUAAUCAUUAACUUUAUAGUUUGAACCUUUUCCAAUUUGUCCACAUUUUCAGAAAAGCAAAAGCAAUACAGUACUCUAAAAAUAAACCAAGCUUUCUGUGUCUUAAACUUUGUGUAAUCUGCACAAUUAAAAAUUGAUGUUUGUAGUUUUAUUGUCUCCUGCUCUCUCUGAUGCCUACAUUCCUUAGACCCUUUUACCUUUUUACUUGUAUGCACGCAUACAUUUAAAUUACUUAUCUAUUCAUGUAACAGGAAUGCCUGAACACAGCUUAUAUAAACAACUCUUUCUCAGGACAGUCUUUCAGGGGAUGAAAGCAAGACACAUUUUUCUACUGGCUCCAGCCUCUCACUGGUCAAACAUCUGCCUCGUGGGUGUUCAUGCUUCAUGAUGGAAGUGUGAAGUGGACGUUGUCCAGUUGUGCCUGUGUGACAUUGGUCUGAGCAAGAGCUGGGACAAAUGGCUACAGCUUGCAGAUGGACGAGCCUGAGGGGGUACAAACCAUCUCAUGCAGCUUCAGGUGGGAGAAACUUGGGAAGACCCUUAACUGCCGUUUCCUGGGCUUGCUCCUGCUGGUGCAUUUUCCUGUGCUGCUUCUUAUGCCCAGUGCCUUCAUGCACCUGUCCUUCCAUCACUUGUCCAUACCUCUCAGCAAUUUCAAGCACCAGUAAGAAGAAGCAGUGUCACCCAGGUGAAAGUCUGAAUCACCCCACCUCAGGCUGACCACAGGAAAACAGAGAAUGGCAAUGGAUCUAUUUUGGGUGCUUCCUGAAUGAAGUAUAUGGGCCAGCUGUAAGCUUUUUCUUAAUUUAAUUAUCAUUUUCCACACAUAUUCAUUUGCAAACUCCUCUUCUAAACCCAAAUCUCCUUUGUUUCUCAGCACUGGUUGACUUUUUAAAGCGGAUGUCUUUGAAAUGCACUAAUGUCCAAAGAUAAAUGUGUUGCCUCAAGCACCACUUCAGGGUUGUCAGCCCCAGGUACAAUUUGCCCUUUCACUGAAGAAUCAAUGACCACUUACAUUUGUUUACCAUUUUAAAUUUGUGUGCAAGUCUGUAUAAAUAUGGCUUCAGGUUGUAUUGUUGCCUAUUUUCACAAGAUAGAAAUAUUGUGAAUAUAUUCCCAUACUUUUAAUAUUCUUUAUUAUAAUAUUAAUGAUUAUAUAAUUCCAUAUUCUAUCACAUGCCUACAUUAUAAUUUAUUUAAAUAAUUCCUUAUUGUGCUUCAUUCCAUUCAGUUUGUUUUCAAUGCUUCAUGGGUGCACUGAACAUUUUAGCAUAUAAAUAUUUGCCUUUAUAUCUGAAUAAUUGUUUACAAAAUAACUUUAACAAUUCAUGUUGUGAUACAAAUUUCCUAGGAUGAGUCAUCAGGAAGAUCAUUAAGGAAGAUUUUAAUAUAAGAAGACUUUAUUGGAUAUCUGUGAUUUGCAGAACACUGUUGAGAAACAAACAACACACAGAAUGCAAGCUUGCCUUUAAAAAUGUGUAUCCUAAUUAGGGAAAUAAUUAUGUUUCCAUGUAUAUCAUAUGUACACACACACAUACACAUAGGUAUGUAUGAUCAUCUCAUGUAUGUCAUAUAUGUGUAUUUGUGUGUAUAGAUAUACUUUUUUUUGUUAGAACAACUACAUCAAUGUGAACCAAAAAACUCACAAUGGCAGAAGAGGCCUCUGAGUCUGUUUCUUAUCUAUUUCUGAGCAUCACUAGGCACCUCUCUCCUGUGUAAUUCAUAUGACAACAACGUACACUAUGACAUGUGUUUAUUUUACCAAAUGUUGUUCUUUCAUUUGUCUUGAAUACGCUGAAUUCCCCUGCUCACCUGAACAACUGUAUUCAUCUCCCAAAACCUGUCUCUUGAUUCUGGGUAAAGAUUUUGCUUAUUGAGUCACUUCAGGUUAGUGUCCAGUCUUUUGGAUUCUGAUAUAGUGUGGGUGUGUCCCCACCCAAAUCUCAUCUUGAAUCGUAGUUCCCAUAAUUCCCAUGUGUUGCGGAAGGGACUUCCUGGAAGGUAAUCAAAUCACGGGGGUGGGUCUUUCCCGUGCUGUUCUUGCGAUAGUGAAUAAGUCUCACAAGAUCUGAUGCUUUUAUAAAGGGUAGUUCCCUUGCACACGCUUUCUUGCCUGCCACCAUGUAAAUUGUGCCCUUGUUCCUCCUUCAUCUCCUGCCAUGAUUGUGAGGCCUCCCCAGCCACGUGCAACUGUGAGUCCAUUAAAUCUCUUUCCUUUAUAAAUUACCCAGUCUCAGGUAUGUCUUCAUUAGCAGCAUGAGAACAG
rnacentral:lncRNA from 1 species